rnacentral:pre_miRNA from 1 species
AACACCCAGGGAUCUUGUAAAAAUGCAGAUUCUGAUUAAGAGCAGGGCCUAUAUUCUGCAUUUCUAACAAGUUCCCAAGUGAUGCCAA